rnacentral:rRNA from 1 species
GACGAACGCUGGCGGCGUGCCUAAUACAUGCAAGUAGAACGCUGAAGGAGGAGCUUGCUUCUCUGGAUGAGUUGCGAACGGGUGAGUAACGCGUAGGUAACCUGCCUGGUAGCGGGGGAUAACUAUUGGAAACGAUAGCUAAUACCGCAUAAUAGUAGAUGUCGCAUGACAUUUGCUUAAAAGGUGCAAUUGCAUCACUACCAGAUGGACCUGCGUUGUAUUAGCUAGUUGGUGAGGUAACGGCUCACCAAGGCAACGAUACAUAGCCGACCUGAGAGGGUGAUCGGCCACACUGGGACUGCAGCACGGCCCAGACUCCUACGGGAGGCAGCAGUAGGGAAUCUUCGGCAAUGGCCGGAAGUCUGACCGAGCAACGCCGCGUGAGUGCAGAAGGUUUUCGGAUCGUAACGCUCUGUUGUAAGAGAAGAACGAGUGUGAGAGUGGAAAGUUCACACUGUGACGGUAUCUUACCAGAAAGGGACGGCUAACUACGUG